GUUCAACGGCCGCGGUAUCCUAACCGUGCGAAGGUAGCGUAAUCACUUGUUCUUUAAAUGUGGACUAGUAUGAAUGGCACUACGAGGGUUAUACUGUCUCCUUUUUCUAAUCAGUGAAACUAAUUUUCCCGUGAAGAAGCGGGAAUAUAACUAUAAGACGAGAAGACCCUAUGGAGCUUUAAACAACCCAGCAAUUACUUCUAAAAUUUUAAAUUUCAGAAUAUUCAUUCUUUAAGUAGUAUGUUUGCAAGUUUUUGGUUGGGGUGACCAUGGAGAAUAACAUAACCUCCAUAUUGAAUGAAUUCCCUUCUAAGCUGAAAAUCACCAAUUGAAGCAUCAACACACUGACAUCUAUUGACCCAAUAUAUUUGAUCAACGAACCAAGUUACCCUAGGGAUAACAGCGCAAUCCACUUCAAGAGCCCCUAUCGACAAGUGGGUUUACGACCUCGAUGUUGGAUCAGGGUAUCCCAGUGGCGCAGCUGCUACUAAAGGUUCGUUUGUUCAACGAUUAAAACCC
rnacentral:rRNA from 1 species